GACGUAGGGCGCAAGCGUUGUCCGGAUUUAUUGGGCGUAAAGAGCUCGUAGGCGGCUCAUUGCGUCAACCGUGAAAACCAGCAGCUCAACUGUUGGCUUGCGGUUGAUACGGGCAGACUAGAGUUCGGUAGGGGGGACUGGAAUUCCUGGUGUAGCGGUGAAAUGCGCAGAUAUCAGGAGGAACACCGGUGGCGAAGGCGGGUCUCUGGGCCGAAACUGACGCUGAGGAGCGAAAGCGUGGGGAGCAAACAGG
rnacentral:rRNA from 1 species